GACGAACGCUGGCGGCGUGCUUAACACAUGCAAGUCGAACGGAAAGGCCCUGCUUUUGUGGGGUGCUCGAGUGGCGAACGGGUGAGUGACACGUGAGUAACCUGCCCUUGACUUUGGGAUAACUUCAGGAAACUGGGGCUAAUACCGUAUAGGAGCUCCUGCUGCAUGGUGGGGGUUGGAAAGUUUCGGCGGUUGGGGAUGGACUCGCGGCUUAUCAGCUUGUUGGUGGGGUAGUGGCUUACCAAGGCUUUGACGGGUAGCCGGCAUGAGAGGGUGAACGGCCACAUUGGGACUGAGAUACGGCGCAGACUCCUACGGGAGGCAGCAGUGGGGAAUAUUGCACAAUGGGCGGAAGCCUGAUGCAGCAACGCCGCGUGCGGGAUGACGGCCUGCGGGGUGUAAAACGCUUUCGCCUGUGACGAAGCGUGAGUGACGGUAAUGGGUAAAGAAGCACCGGCUAACUACGUG
rnacentral:rRNA from 1 species